GUAGUAUUCCCUCCGCCCCAAAAUUCUUGUCUUACAUUUGUUUAGAUACGGAUGUAUCUAACACUAAAAUGUAACUAGAUACAUAUGUAUUUAGACUAAUUUAAGACAAGAAUUUUGGGACGGAGGGAGUAGAAA
rnacentral:pre_miRNA from 1 species